rnacentral:lncRNA from 1 species
CGGGCUGUUAAGAAGAGCCAGGAUUUCAACAAGCACAGACGGUAGAAUUCCAGCCAUAAGUGGCAUACUAAGAGAUUCUCCACAGCAACAACAACGACAAACAAACAAACAAAAAACAUAAAGAAGGAAUUCAUUACUACCUUGAAUAUGAAGAACACGAUAAGUAUCUUCCGUGUGAUGAUCUAAAUUUUCAUCCCCCAGAGAAGAGUAUCCUUGGAAACAGGUCUGGCAGCUGAGUGGCAAAGACCUGAGGAACUAAGGGGAGGAGAAAACCAG